UAUUUCCAGAUUGAUUUCCAUAUUUCCAGACCCGCAGCAACUUGCGCAGCCCCACCUUCCUUCCCCUGAUCCCCUCCUCCCGCGUGCUUCCUUCCCCAUCACCGCGAGUUGACCCGUCCUCUGGUCGUCGCCCGCCGUACAGCAAGCCGCCGCCGACCUCCUCUGCCGGACGAGCAGAGCUCCGUCGGACCUUCCCGACCAUAUCGACGACUAGCCGCACUACGCAUCUGUCCCACCUCCCAGCCAGCCCUGCCGCCCUAGUUAUAUGAAGAACCUGAUUGGUGAAGCUAAUUGUCAAAUCUGCCAGGAAAGCUUCGGCACCACUGCAAAUGAUUGUUCUUAUAUGUUGCAUAACACUAGCAGGAGUACAACAGAAGGGAAGUGGCAGAGAGGGAAUGACAGAGGCAGGCCUAAGCAUGUUCCUUAUAUUCUUCUAUCUCCUAUUUAUUGCAUGGGUCACCAUCAUGAGUGGGCAUUUGCUUACUGGGCAAAGGAGUAGAACCCACAUAUGGUUCUUUGACUAUGCUGGAAGUGACCGUUGCCCAAAACUGAAUUAGAAGGAGAGAGGUCUAAGGAGGCAGAGUUCAUCGACAAGUCACUGUCUGCACUGGGUGAUGUUAUUGCUUCCCUUACCUUCAAAGCGCCCAUGUGCAUGUUUAUUCACCUUCGUUUUUGUUUUGUACUAUCACUGAAACUGACUGUGUGCAUGCAGCAGUUCAUUAGUGCCUAUGUAAUUGAUUAUCCAUGACAAAAAUAGCUCUUUGUAGUGUUCUCUAUUCUUGAGACUGUCCAAAACUCAAUGCUUAUAAAGAGCAAACUUGUUUGUGUGAU